GCCAGCUGUGGGUGCCUGGCUGCAAAGGAGCAUCCAGCAAGGAGCCCAGAGACACAGGUUUUUUGCUACAUCGUUAUUUUGCUACCCAGUGGUUUGUAGGGCUGGAUGUCAGCUGUUUGCCAAAGGCCCUGGAGCAGCAGUCCUCAGGAAUGUAUCUGUGCAACAAGCAGUCAUCUAAAGAAAGUAUAUUCACUGAAAGCUGCUUUUUCAGUGUGAAGGUGAAGCCAUUGUGAGCAGCAAAUCAAGGUGGGCUCCUCUGAGAAGGAAAACAACAAAUCUGAGAGGAUCUGGCAGCCCAGUGGGUUGUGCACUGGGGGAAGCAGGUUUGUGCUUAACAGUGCUUUAGAUAAAAAGAAGUUUAAAAAAUAUAGUUGGGCUAAGAUGUUAUGAAGUAUUUUAGUGAAGAGAAAACAGAUAAAUGUUGAAAAGCAUCAAGCAGUUUAGGAAAUGAGACAGUGAAGAGAUCAAAAGGUGCCUGUCCCUGGGAAAUGUCUGCUUGUUGCUCUGCUUUGAGAUGGGGCCCAUUGAGGCACUUAGCUUCUCCCACAAAAAUGUAAACACUGCUCUGCUCUGCUCUGCUCUGGACAGCAGCCCCUGGGGCUGGAGCUGCUCAGUGGGACCACACUGAGCUCCUGGGAGGGGUGCUGGUCAUGUUUGCCCCCUGCUCCCAUCACUGCAGGAACCCCCCAGGCUGCAGGAGCUGCUGGGACCAGGAUGAUGGAAAAGGGGUUUGCACUGUGACCGUGCCACACAUGCAGGACACACAACUUCAGCCCUGCUGUGGGAGCUGAAAUUGAAUUCUUUUCUACAGUUUCUUUCAUGCCUUGAGAAGGUGAAGACAUUGCCUGGCUCAGGAGGGGGCAGACAAGUGAUACCUGUCUGUCUGAUGUCUGUCCUGGAGCCAGACUUGGUGACAGGGUGGGCUGGGGCUGUUUCCAGCAGGGACAGUGGGGACACAGCCCCUGGAGUUUUUCACAGGAGCGCUGGGGUGAAACUGGGCCAGGGAAAAGGCAAGGGAGGAGAGGACAGGAGGAGAGUGCAGGACAGUAAAGGGGAGAACAGGGGAAUAAAGGGGAGGGCAGGGAAAGGGGGAGGACAGUAAAGAAGAGGAAAGGUGGAAAGGAAGGAAAAGGAGGGACAGGAAAGGAUGUGAUGGCCAAAGGGGAUGGGAGGACUGGGAAAAGAGGCAAGGAAAGGGAGGAGAGUAGAGAAGGAAGACAUGGAAAGGUGUCAUUUCCAUGCUGUGUGGGUCUCUUUACCAGAGACAGUUCUUCCUCCCUGCCCCUGCUGAGGUGUUAUUUCAUCUGCUCUUUACUCCACCUUGAAGCUGGACAGGUUUUUCACACAAACUCUCUGAGUUCAGGGCACCCCAGGGGUGCCACUGUUCAGGGGCUGCUCUGGUGCUUGCACAUCAUCUCCUCAUGGAUGGUUACACACCCCAGACACUCCAUCCAUCCCCUGAAGUGCUCAGCACAGCAGUGACAGCCACUCCUGGUUCUCCCUGCCCACUUUCAGCAGAGCUCAGAGUGGUUUCAUUCUAACCCUCAGCACCAAAAUAUUCCCAUGUGCCUUCAUGAAAGGACUUUACCUUCAAAUUACUUUUAAAAGCUCUACUUCCACUGAACCAAAAGGUUUCUGAAGUCACACUUUAAAAUGCAGGUUUCUCAGCAGACACUGGAGAGUUGUGUUCUCAUCCCCAAAGCUGGCACCUCCAGGGAGGAAAUGUGACACUGAGGGUUCCAGUUCCUGUGGGUCCAGGUGUUUGAAGCACUCAUUCUUCCCUCUUCAGUGUGGUCACAGUUAAUGAGACAAAUAUCAAUGUGGUGUACAACAUCAGAAAAAAAAAAGUGUUGGUUUUUUAUUUAGAAGUUUACUUCUCAAGAUAUUGUGAAGUCCAACAAGCUGGUAAUCUCCUCUCCCCCCACCCUUCCUCCACCUGAGGGAAGGAAAAAUCUGAAGUUAAAUGUUCAAUUUCCAAGGCUGCUCACUUCAACUACUUCAAAAACAAGUCAGAAAAGAGGCUUUGAGAUGCAGACUGUGAAUGUAAAACUGAAUCCUGCCUGUAUUAUUUACCAAAAUACAAUUCUUUUGUUAAAAAAAGAGGCUGACAUUUCAGUGCAAGGCCAGGUCUCCUGUAUUUACCUGUGUUAGUGAGUUAAGAGAAAAAAACAACAAAAAGCCCACCAAACAACCCAACCAAUGCCCCCUAGUCACAGUGUUAAUGCACCCUGUUCAUGGUGUUAAAGCUCUAAACCACAGGACACCUGUGCUCCAAAAGCUGAAAUUAAUUCUUGAUUUUAUUUUUUAAAGGUUUAUCUACAUUCCUGUACUGUGAAAAUCAGUUUUCUCAAGGAAAAAAAAAAGACAGAGAGAGAGAAGGGCUUCUGUCAGGUAGUGCAGUAUGACUCAGUAGAGCUCCUUUAAUUUCUUUACACAGUAAACAGACUCAUAUUUAUACCAACACCCUCUGCAGUUGUAUUUACAUGGACACUUGUACAUAUAUACAUGUUAGCAAAAUACAGGGCUUCUC